GUAGGGAAUAUUGCGCAAUGGACGAAAGUCUGACGCAGCGACGCCGCGUGAGUGAUGAAGGCCUUAGGGUCGUAAAGCUCUGUUGAAUGGGAAGAAAAAAAUGACGGUACCAUUCGAGGAAGGACCGGCUAACUUCGUGCCAGCAGCAGCGGUAAUACGAGGGGUCCUAGCGUUGUUCGGAAUCAUUGGGCGUAAAGGGUGUGUAGGUGGCCAUGUAAGUCAGGUGUGAAAGCCCCGGGCUCAACCCGGGAAGUGCACUUGAUACUGCGUGGCUUGAGUACCGAAGAGGGUAGUGGAAUUCCAGGUGUAGUGGUGAAAUACGUAGAUAUCUGGAGGAACACCGGUGGCGAAGGCGGCUACCUGGUCGAGUACUGACACUGAGACACGAAAGCAUGGGGAUCAAACAGGAUUAGAUACCCCGGUAGUCC
rnacentral:rRNA from 1 species